ACAGAACAGCCGGUCCCAUAGAUUACAUGGUCCCACACAGAACAGCAGGUCCCAUAGAUUACAGGGUCACACACAGAACAGCCGGUCCCAUAGAUUACAUGGUCCCACACAGAACAGCAGGUCCCAUAGAUUACAGGGUCACACACAGAGCACACAGAACAGCAGGUCCCAUAGAUUACAGGGUCACACACAGAGCACACAGAACAGCAGGUCCCAUAGAUUACAGGAUCACACACCUUUCCACAAAGGAGAGAAACACAAUCUCCCCUAAUUGACAUUGUCAUUGUCCUGUUGUAAUCCUUAUAGGUGUGUCUCUAUGGCGACAGGGGUGGAAUCCCAAAUGGUACCCUAUUCCUUACAUAGUGCACUACUUUUGACCAGAGCAUUAUGGGCCCUGGUCCAAAGUAGUGCACUAUAUAGUGAAUAGGGUGCCAUUUCAUAUGCAUCCAGGGGCGUUGUCAGGAUUCAGAUGUUAUUAUGCAACAACAUAAGGGCCCCCAGGAGAAAUAUUACCUAGACAUUGAGAGACCCUGUGACUGAGAGUGUAAACGGCUGUAAUCACCAACAAUAGGAAACAAAGAGAAAACACUUUGCACACAUGUCAUCUGUUGUCUUGUUAUAGCCCUCUCAACAUGGCUCACUGUGAAUACUGGCCCCCGUGGGACCAUGGUGAUGAUUACAGUAUGGAGGAGAGGUGAAGAAGAGCAAAGAAAGGGAAGGGAUUGAGAGAAGGGUGUUCUUUGGUCUGGCUAGACAUUUAAGGACUUCUCUUCGAAACCAAACCUUUAUAUCCCAUCAAACUGACCAUUCUAUUUUAUGAUAUUCAGCUUCUUGUUGCGCUAAUGAUAACUGUAGGAUUGAAAUAAAACACCAUUACAAAUAACAGUUUCCUUUAUUCCCUAUUGUGGUAUGAGAGCAAUCUUAAUCGGAAUUACCUUGGCAGAAUGAGAGAAGAGACGUUAGUCAUAUUUCCUUCAAGUUGUCUGAGUCACACCGUCUUUAAACACUUGCUCACACGCACACCCUCACACCCACAAACAAAUAUAAGUGUAUCCCUGCUUCACUGACAAAUGUCUCUGAGGGAUUUCAAAACGUAACACUAGGCCUUAGUAGCUAGGUGCUUCAUUAAGGUGUGUGUUUGGUGUCUAUAACCAGUAUGUGUAGUUUGUAGUGCAUUGUACACAUGUUUAUAUUUAUUUGUAUGUGUUUGUGGUGUGUGUGCCUGUGUGUGUGUAGGUACACUCCGCCACCUCUAAUUAACUCGUUGGAGGUGUGUGAGUCAGCAUCAGUUGACAGCUUAUAAUUGCCCCACGGCUAACAACAUUACACAUACACACACACACUGGCGAACCCGCUCUCAACUCCUGGGAGAGUGUUUGUUGGCCCGCUCGACAGCAGGGUGAAACUUGGGGUACCAAAUCAGCACUACAAUAAAACACAGGCAUGCCAUGACACAUCCAUCACCGUGCGUGCGUGUGUGCCUACCUUCCUGUCUGUGUUCGUAGAUCUGAUGUAACCUGGCAGCUCAGGUGCAUGUGGAGGGCAGCAUACCUGACAGAGGUGGCAACACCAACUCCAGUUACAAGGAGCCAGGGAACAGGCUCAGUUCAUGGAGUGUAUACAGAGUAUACAAAACAUGAAGAACACCUGCUCUUUCCAUGACAUAGACUGACCAGGUGAAUCCAGGUGAAAGCUAUGAUCGCUUAUUGACGUCACUUGUUAAAUCCACUUUAAUCAGUGUAGAUGCUCACGCUCAUCAGUUUCCCGUGCGUAUCAAGAAUGGUCCACCACCCAAAGGACAUCCAGCCAGCUUGACACAACUGUUUAAUUGGAGUCAACAUUGGCCAGCAUCCCUGUGGAAUGCUUUGACACACUGAGUCCAUGCCCCAACAAACUGAGGCUGUCCUGGGGGGGUUCCUAAUGUUUGGCAUACUCAGUUUUACUCAAUACUC
rnacentral:lncRNA from 13 species